GGCGUUAGGUUACUUGCCUUAUCAUUGAAGGAUGUAAAGUUAUACAUUUAUAUGAUGUGCCCUAGUUAGUUCUUUCGUAUACCGACAGAUUUCGUGUUUAGAUAUGGUACGAAAACAAUAAACAGAACGAUUUUCAUUCAUUCGCAGCAGGUGGAGGAAUGAACAUGGAGUAAAGAAGAAACAUUACUACAUACCAGACGAUGGAGCUGUGCUUCGUAGCAGCCCGACGUCGGGGCAGCUAUUAUUCUGUUUAUUUAAGGCCGAAGUGAUUACCGUAAUGUAGUGGAAUAAAAGAGAUGCGAGUGCAAGAAAAUUCAUUUGCAUCAUGUGCCAAAAUGACCGAGGAAAGAAGCGUGAAUGGAGGUCCAGAUAUUCCCAGUGGCAGCAAAAGAGGGUAUUCAGCCGGAGAUAUCGACGGAACCCAAAGUCCCAAUUCUUCAACCAGCGAAGCUGAUAAAUCUUGCGGUAUCGCAGGUGGUAGACUGAAAUUUUUUAAGGAUGGUAAAUUCAUAUUGGAAUUAUCACACCGAACUGAAGGAGAUCGAACGUCAUGGGUUCCAGUGCCCAAAAAAACAUACUGGCCUCCUCCUGCAACUACUGCUACUAGUACUGGUACUCCACGCCAGGAGAGCUCAACCUCACUUAGUGUGUCAGAUGACAACUCAUCUGUCCAGUCAUCACCUUGGCAGCGAGAUCACUGUUGGAAGCAGACCAACCCUCGGCAAGGCAUUGGUAAAGAAAUGACUUUUGUGAUGCAGUCAUUUCCACACAUGAGGCAUCUAAGGAGUCUUCAUUCUGUGUUUCACUGUAUACAAAAGAAGCGUAGAUGCCCUUACGUACCUAUAGAAGUGUCAGUGGAGAAUCACAGUGGUGUAAUAAGUGCACACGUAAGAGGUGGAAAGAAAGAGCGAAACAGAAUAAAAUUGUUGGAUAUAGUACAAACUUUGUUAGAUAGAGUGAAAGGCUCAAGUAGUAGUAAUGAAAGCACUGUUUGCUCUAAUGCAAGUGGGGCUAUUCCACCAAAUCACGUGCGGACAGUAACUGUAGCAACGGCAAGACUGGAUCCUAGCAUUAUAUCCCCUAGGAAGAGAAUACUUCGUGAAAUGGAGAGAGUUAGUCUUGAGGACAUGUCGAACUCUAAACGACAGCGAGCUCGUACCAGUAGUGCCUUGCCACAGAACAAUAACAAUGGUAGCAGUGGAAAUUGUACUGUUACGUGCCAAACUCUCCAACCUGGCAGUGCACUUCCGUCUCCUCCCCAGCCUAGUGUCAAAGGCAGUGUGAGUAAUUACAGUAUUACCUCGCUCCUGGGAAAUAGUCGAAAUGAAGACGUACAAACACCUGGACCUCAAGAUACAGACACAUCAUUCCUACGUACUCUCCUGAAGUCUUCAGCGCAACAGACUAGCAAUGUUGAACAGACUCCCAGACCCAAAGCGGCUUCAAAGCCUGCUGGAUCGAGGAAAUCGUCACCCACACAGCAACAGCAGCAGUCACCUCAACAACUGCCACAAACGCAGCACUCCCAAAACCAGUCACCUACACAGCAGCAGCAGCAGCAGCAGCAGCUGUCGUCCCCAUCGCGGCUCAGCUCUCCUGCUCUCUCACCAUCACCAGAUAAUCUUCGCUCUGGACUUAGAAAUCCAGUUGUUCCGUCCAUUGGCAGCUCUGCACACCUCUCUCCAUUCCUUACACCUCCACUGAUAUAUCCACAGCUUUCAUCUCCCUUUUUACCUCAUCCUCCUCCGACAUUAAGUCAUCAUCCUUACUAUUCCAGCCCUCCACCUGUAUCUGCAUAUCGUGGAUCUCCAUCACCAGUUCCAACUUUGUGGGUACAAUACCCACUUUCUAGUCUUCCAAGGGGGGCAGUUCACUACGGACUAGUGGCUCCCUGCCAUGCACCACCUCUUAGUCCGUGCCAUUACAGCCCACUAACGCAACAACCACUGGAAGAGCUGAAGAAAGAAGAUAAUGGUUCAGAUGUUCCUCUGAAUUUGUCCAAACAUUCUGGCUGAAGACUGGCUGAUGUUGCCCACAGCUGAAAAACUGCUGUGCUGGAUAUAUGGUGCAAUCUCUACAAGUGAUUCUAUUUGUUUUCCCCCCACCCCAAAAAAGUUGAGGCUGCAAGACAUUUGAGAGAUCACUUAAAAUGUGAAAGGAAUGUAUUCUAAGGAUAGAAUUAUUCUAAAUUUUAUUUUGUUUGUCAUUUUGAAAAUAAACUAUAGAAACAUUCUAACAUUUACCACAACAAGCAGCAAGAAACACUCAGAGCAAUGUGUACAGAUGAAUGUUUAAAUAUUUUGCUAAUAGAGUUAGAUACACUUCAGUCUGAUUUAAUUUUUGAUCAUUUUGUAAUUUCUGCUGCUGCAGUAUGUUGUUAUUUUGAUGGUGAUUAACAACUAAUAAGAGAAAUUAGUAUAAUAGUUCAACCUGGAUGUAAUACAAACAAUGAUGAAGAGCACAUUAUGAUUGCCCGCUCCCCCUCCACACACACACGCGCGCGCGCGCACACACACACACACACACACACACACACACACACACACACACACACACACACACACACAAAACACUGGGGCUCAAAAUAGGUGUAUACCUGUUUUGAAUGUAGGAUCUUUCGCAUUUUGUUCACCUAUGUUGGUUUCACAAAAUCAUGGCAAUCAAGUGCAACUGAUUGUUUGAAUCCUGGUAGGCAGAUAUGUGACCUUUACAAUUUUUAUGAUGAAGAAAGUAGUAGUACACAGUUGCACAUCACGUGAGCUGCACUUCAGUGCCCAAAGUAAAUUCCAAACCUCUCUCCAAAGCCUUGUUUGGUGUGUUAAUAAAUUAAGCAAAAGGUAUGUGUCAGCACUGCCUUUCAAUAUUUUCAUUGUCACAUGACACAGUCAGACAUCUAAAUUAUACUUUUAAAUAUCUGAAAUGUCAUUCACAGGUGAGAGAAAUAAGAUGGUGAACUGGAACCUUCCAUAGAAAGAAGAGUAAGAUUUUCACAUUGCUGCCGAAAGCUCAUUGUUAUCCAUGGGUCAGUCAAUUUUUCUCCAUCUUAGUCUGCAUGUAACAGAAAUAAUUUGUUGUUAGAUAUUCCUUCACACCUGGUGUAAAAAGUAUUAUUAGAAAAGUGGUGUAGUCAGUAUGAGUCUUGAUGUAAGCUGUGCUACUCACAGAUUAGGUACCAGAGAACUCAGUCCUGCUUAAAUGGGUGGAUUUCAUAAAUGAUAGAACUAGUAAAGUAAGUAGUAGGGCAUGUAUGGCUGGGAUACCUCAAAGGGCAAGUUCAUUCUAUCCGCCAUGCCCAAAGGCACCUUUCCUUCACGAAGUAUGAGAAUUGUGUGUAAGUGUAUCUGUUGAGGGUACGUGAUUGUUAUGGUGUGUGUGUGUGUGUGUGUGUGUGUGUGUGUGUGUGUGUGUAGAUGAUGUGGGUGAAACCCAGUGCCAAUGCACAGCCUAAAACUUUCAAAGUGCACUAAGGGGGCAACCGAGCUUAACAUACCUGUCUGACAGACAUAUCCCCAUCAACAGUGUCACAUGCCCUCAUGAUACAAGGCAGAGAGAUUUGGAACUGAAUUGAGGGUGUUGGUGCAAAGCAUGGUGAUCAAGAACUUCAUGCCACCACCUCCCCUUUUUGGCCAAAUAGUAGUAGUGUAAAUUUCAUCCACCACCAGGAUUCGAAGCUGCUUACCUCUGAGUCAAGCACCACCACACAAGUGUGUGUUAGGAACCUCAGCUACAGAGGUGGGUAAGACAGAACUGAGAAAUAGUUAUGUGUAAUUCACCCUGUCAAAUUGGCAGUCAGUGUUAGUGUCACUUUUUCAAAUUACAGAUUGACAAGCAUGAAUGUCAUGCUACAUUAAAAAAGAGAAAUAAGUGUAUUUAAUGAAAUAUACUGUAAUUGCUCAUCAUUCCACUAGCACUCUCCUACAGGAAAGUGAAGACUGCUGUAGGUUGUCUGCUUAUUCCUGAUCCCUAUUUUUAGUGCUGCGUUACCACAGAUGAUUUUGUUGUUGUUUGGUUAUUUAUUAUUAACGUACCACAUGAGUAAACACAAUAUUGUUAGUAUGAUUUUAUUCUGCAGAGAUUCUUGAAAUUUUCUGCAUGUUCUUUAAAAGUGAGCUGAGUAAUUAUAUCUUGCAGCUGUAUUAUUAGGACUGAAAAAAACUGAAUUGCAAAAUUGCCUCUUUUUAAUAAUGAAUUAAGUUUAAUCGUUAGCUAAUGGUCUAAGAAUGUUCUUGGAGGUCCUGGUAUUGUGGAAAGCUAUAAAGAAUUCCUUAAUAUUACUUCUUUUGCAAUGAUGUACAUCAAUUUUGACAGUUGGGUAGCAUACUGGAAAAUUCCAUUACUUAUUACUGUUUCUGUGAUUUUGUUUAAGAGGAAAGAAGUAAGUUUGUUACUGCAAAUACAUUUGCUAUCUUAUACAAUAGUGAUGACAAGACUGUAUUAAUACCAAUUGUUGUGGGAAUUGCCCAUGAACAUGCUAAAAUUAACUUGUAAACCAAAAUCAUAUUCCAGGAAUUACUAUACUUACAGAAUGGAAAGUAAAGAAACUUGUGUAGUGUGUGAAGAUGAUGGUGAUGACUUAGGAGUUUUCUUGCUGUAUACUGAAUUCUUAUAUCAAGAUGUUACUUUAUCAUUAUCCAACAAUCUACUAUGAAAAUUCAAAAUUAUAUAUUUUUAUUUAUUACUGUGAAUGCUGCAUUACGUGUCUUUUGGAUGUUGCUUGAUUUUUUAAAAAUUGUAUGUUAUUUUUGUGAAUAUAUUUAAUAUUCAGUUAAGGUUGAUAUAUUUGACUGAGAAUAACUUCAUCCAGGAAUAAGAGCCUUGGUCCAGCUGACAUUGUAGUCACUGGCAUGUACCACUAUUAAUGUCUUCCUGUUUUAUUUGAAAAAUCAGUACUAAUAGGAGCUCAGAAUCACAGUCACCAUGAGAUUUCAGUGUGUCAUACUGCCUUAAUUUCAUAGACACUUAGUUUUUCAUAGUAUAGAUGUUGCAAUACUUAUGUGGUGUGAAAAAUUAAUAUUUAAAAGUAUUCCUGUCUCAUACAAUAGGAACAUAUUUCCUUCAGAUUUUCCUGUUUAACUGUGGCCUUAUAUCAUCUCAUUGAUUUUAAAUGGACUAAAUUGUUGAUGUGAGAGGCAUUACUGUUAUACUAUCAUAACAUUUUCCGAAAGUUCUUCAGGACUAUUUUUAAAACCUUUUUCUUUAAAAUGUGUGUAUACUUCUAAUAUUACGUGGCAGAUUAUGUACAUAUUAUCAGUUGUUAAAACCAAGCUGUCACUUUUAGAAUGGGCAGCAAGUAAUGAACAGAAUUUCGUAAUAGUCAUGAGCGAUUGCAGAGUUGUAACUGAACUGCCAUGUGAGAAACUGUGCCAUUUAUGACCUAUUUUGAUAACUGCUUCUUCUUCAAGUAUUUAUUGUGAUACAGUUUAUGAAUGUAAGAAUGACUUGUAAAUAGGCUGAAAUAUCUCAGUAUGUAUGAAGAUAUCUACUUUAAUAAAUGUUGCAUUUUACACACA